rnacentral:rRNA from 1 species
GACGAACGCUGGCGGCGUGCUUAACACAUGCAAGUCGAACGGAAAGGCCCUGCUUUUGUGGGGUGCUCGAGUGGCGAACGGGUGAGUAACACGUGAGUAACCUGCCCUUGACUUUGGGAUAACUUCAGGAAACUGGGGCUAAUACCGGAUAGGAGCUCCUGCUGCAUGGUGGGGGUUGGAAAGUUUCGGCGGUUGGGGAUGGACUCGCGGCUUACCAGCUUGUUGGUGGGGUAGUGGCUUACCAAGGCUUUGACGGGUAGCCGGCCUGAGAGGGUGACCGGCCACAUUGGGACUGAGAUACGGCCCAGACUCCUACGGGAGGCAGCAGUGGGGAAUAUUGCACAAUGGGCGGAAGCCUGAUGCAGCAACGCCGCGUGCGGGAUGACGGCCUUCGGGUUGUAAACCGCUUUCGCCUGUGACGAAGCGCGAGUGACGGUAAUGGGUAAAGAAGCACCGGCUAACUACGUG